AAGAUUCCUAGUCCUCCUCUCCUCCUCCCCUGAGUCCCCUCCCCUCCCCAGCUCCCCUCCCCUCCCGUCACAUCUCCGCCCAAUGUGGCAUAUAAAAUCCCCCAGAUCCAGCCCUCCCCACCUCCACUCCCUUCCUCAUUGCACACACGAGAAACACAGAUUCACACCCACGAGUGUUCGUUCGUGCCCGAUCUUGCAGGUGGGGGUGGGGGGUUGGUGGUGAUGCCUGGGCGCAGUGGUUUAUCGAUCCCUUCCCUGCCUUGUGGCGCUGAUCCAGGAGCGGCGAAUUUCUUUGAGAGGGUGUUCUUUUUUUUUCUUCCUUUUGGUCCUUGUUGCAGCCAACGACAACGCGGGAAUCGAUCGAUAAACCUCUGCAUCCAGUUCUCGCCUUUUUGUGUUCAAGGGCUUGAGGCAGUAGUACUGGCUAUUGCUUCUUGCUUCUUGGCUGCUCAUGGGGUGUAAACAUGUUUACUACUUGUUUAGGCUUGAUAUAUAUGUUUAUGUAGGAUAUGUCUCUUUUUAAUGACAUGACUAUGGUGAUAGAACUGUAAAAAUCUUUUAUUCUGAUGGUUGCAUGAUUUGAUAUGUGCUUCUGAUAGGUUCUUUUAUUCUGAUGGUUGCAUGAUUUCCAUGUUUACAUGGUAGCUGUAGGUUUUGCACUACAAAUUUCCCCUGGAUAUAUUGUCUGAGACUUAGCAUCAGCCAUACUUUGACCAUGCCAUUGCUAAUGUGUAAGGAUAAUGAGAUGAUGCAUUGAUGCUUGAUGUAAUUUGUGGGCUUUGGCCUAUUUUAUGCUUCCAAAGUAUUUUGCAGGUGAUUGUGUGGUUUUGUUUUGUCUUCUAAUAGUGGGAAUAAGUUCCUUGCUCUAGAGAGAUUAGUUCUCAAUUGCAAUUUGUAUCCAUUAAUGGAACUACGCGAGGUGGAUUCUUGUUGGAUCUUGCUUGCUGCCGUCAUGAGUCAUGACUGGAACAGGUUCCAGUUCAUGUGGAGUGAAUCAAAUGCAGAAUACGUUCUAAUGCCAAUGGGUCUUCCCUUGUAUUCCCAAUAUUCUUUUGCCUAUUGCUAUGGUAAAAAAAAAGUUGUUUGCAAUAAUAAUCUUUAAAAACCUUUUAAUUUGUACUUCUAUUGAAUAUUAUUGUAGGUAGUGAAUCCAUCUCUUGUCUCUACAAUAUAACCCCUCCCCCCCCCCCCCCCCUCCUUGUCUUCUGUAAUUAUAUGAAGAUUAGCCAGCAAAGUUAGAUGUAAAAUAAGAUACUUUCUAGCUAAUGACUGCUAGAAUGGAGUAAAUCGGUAAAUGCUCAUAAUGCAUUAGGAUUUUUAACUUUGAAUUUUCUUCAUGAAUACCUUUCAAAUCUAGGAAAGCUCAGGUGAUUGUUGACAUUAUUCGAUGCUUCCUACAGGAAUCAAAAAAUGAAGGUAGCCGUCCUUGAUUCUGUCAAUUAGAUCCCUUUAUUCUAACAGCGUUGCCUCUAACCUAAAGAAUGAACUGAGUGCACAAUGUCUCUAUUGCUGAGGACUCGUUCUGUUCACCAAAUGAAACCUUUUUUUUGUGGUUUUGUAGAUUUUCAGAGACUCAGACCGAUGCUUGUUCAUCGCCAGGUGCCCAGGUUUUCCGUUCUUCUUGGUGAAGUUAAGUGGAUCUGCCGUUUGGUGGCUGGUAAUAUUGAUCUGAAUCUGAUACAUAUCAAUUAUAUGCUCGGUGCUUGUUGAUUGCCAUCAAUAAUACCUUGUGUUCAUCUGGAAAAUAUCAUGUAUAGUGUAUUUAAGAACUCUGUAUCAGAGCAGUUCGAAGAUUGAAGAUUUCGGCAGGCUACUGUGGCUUGCCCAACCUUGCUGUAUCACUGUUUUACAACUUCCUAAUAGGAGAUGUGUUUAUGUAACUCUGAUUAGAUACCGUUUUAUUUGGAGGGAUUAUAUAACUUACUACUCUCUCCAUUUUAAAAUGGACGACGUUAUUGACUUAAGACAUGUCUUUUGAUCA